UUCUGACCAGGUCAACAUGUCCCAGAUGAUUGCACAAAAAAGAAGAGAUAAAAUGGCAUGCUGUCUUGAUACUGGCAAUACCCCAGGGAGCUGUUUUCUUUUGGAGAUUGUGCAAAAGAUAUGAGGAAAGAGAAGGGAAAACCAGUGCUGAUAAUAUCCUCAAAGCGUAGACUAGUGUCAAUUCUCCGAGGCCGAGGACCACUACCACUGCACUAGCAGGGAAAUACUGCCUUGAAGCAAACAUGUUGCCACCUAAGAUUGUCCAAAUGGAAAAAGAAGGAAUUUGUGAAGAGCUGAGUAGAAGAAUCCUUUGUCAAAUGAUAUCUUCUGAUGAACUUCAAGGCACACUGGGUGAAGCUAAGACCGUGAAGUUUCUAAACCAGGAUUUCAGCAUGCCUACCAGAGCUUAGGUGCCCAGGAGUCAAGAGAUGGUCCUCAUCAACCUGUGUAUUUUCAGUAUGGAGAAUACUGAGAAUAUUACUUGAAUCCAUGAAUGGAGAAAUAUGCACAAAAUAAAG